rnacentral:rRNA from 1 species
UGGGGAAUAUUGCACAAUGGGGGGAACCCUGAUGCAGCCAUGCCGCGUGAAUGAAGAAGGCCUUCGGGUUGUAAAGUUCUUUCGGUGACGAGGAAGGUUGAUAGGUUAAUAGCCUAUCAAAUUGACGUUAAUCACAGAAGAAGCACCGGCUAACUCCGUGCCAGCAGCCGCGGUAAUACGGGGGGUGCGAGCGUUAAUCGGAAUAACUGGGCGUAAAGGGCACGCAGGCGGUGACUUAAGUGAGAUGUGAAAGCCCCGAGCUUAACUUGGGAAUUGCAUUUCAUACUGGGUCGCUAGAGUACUUUAGGGAGGGGUAGAAUUCCACGUGUAGCGGUGAAAUGCGUAGAGAUGUGGAGGAAUACCGAAGGCGAAGGCAGCCCCUUGGGAAUGUACUGACGCUCAUGUGCGAAAGCGUGGGGAGCAAACA